rnacentral:lncRNA from 1 species
UUUGGAUGCGGUUGGCAAUUACAGUAUGGUGACUUGGUUAGCAUAAGUAAUAUUGAGAGAUUGAAGAAGAAAUGCAAGGGUGAUUUAUGUGACAGAAGGUUCAUGUGUUGCAGGUGAAAAAAACCCGAGGGAGUUACGUGAAACAUGUAGUAGCCAUGGUUCUCACCUUCAACUUUUAUUUUCGAUUUUUGCUUCCAUAUCUGUUUUU